rnacentral:tRNA from 1 species
UCCCUAGUGGCUCAAUGGUAAAGAAUCUGCCUGCAGUGCAGAAGCAGCAGGUUCGAUCCCUGAGUUGGGAA